UACGUAGGGUCCGAGCGUUAAUCGGAAUUACUGGGCGUAAAGCGUGCGCAGGCGGUUUUGUAAGCCAGAUGUGAAAUCCCCGGGCUCAGCCUGGGAACUGCAUUUGGGACUGCAAGGCUUGAGUACGGCAGAGGGGGGUAGAAUUCCUGGUGUAGCAGUGAAAUGCGUAGAUAUCAGGAGGAAUACCGAUGGCGAAGGCAGCCCCCUGGGUCGAUACUGACGCUCAUGCACGAAAGCGUGGGGAGCAAACAGG
rnacentral:rRNA from 1 species